AAAAAUGCAACUUGAGGGCCAUAUUUCUGAUUGCUGUUGUGCUAACGGAUAAGUUGAUUUUGGCCUCUGGAUGUUAAUGUGGCUACUUGGUGUUGGUGGUGCUGUUAUACUUUAAUUUACCUAGAAUACAUUGGUACACCUGUGCUAAGUAGCGUGCAUGUUGAUUGUGUGGUUAUGGGAUGCUGGAUUUGUCUAAACAAAACUGUGUUUACUUUAGAUUGCUUUUAAUUUUAGGGGUUUUGCCCCAGCCUCCAGCUUGAUCCUGGAAUGUACUCUCCGGUUGAUUUCUCUCCGUUUAUUUUCUUCCAUUUUGACA
rnacentral:misc_RNA from 1 species